rnacentral:misc_RNA from 1 species
AACGCACAUUGCGCCCGCGAGUAUUCUCGCGGGCAUGCCUGUUCGAGCGUCAUUUCAACCAUCAAGCCCCCGGCUUGUGUUGGGGACCUGCGGCUGCCGCAGGCCCUGAAAACCAGUGGCGGGCUCGCUAGUCACUCCGAGCGUAGUAAUACAUCUCGCUCAGGGCGUGCUGCGGGUUCCGGCCGUUAAAAAGCCUUAUUUACCCAAGGUUGACCUCGGAUCAGGUAGGAAGACCCGCUGAACUUAA